rnacentral:rRNA from 1 species
UACGUAGGGUGCAAGCGUUGUCCGGAAUUAUUGGGCGUAAAGAGCUUGUAGGCGGUCUGUUGCGUCGGCUGUGAAAACCCGGGGCUCAACUCCGGGCCUGCAGCCGAUACGGGCAGACUAGAGUUCGGCAGGGGAGACUGGAAUUCCUGGUGUAGCGGUGAAAUGCGCAGAUAUCAGGAGGAACACCGGUGGCGAAGGCGGGUCUCUGGGCCGAUACUGACGCUGAGGAGCGAAAGCGUGGGGAGCGAACAGG